ensembl:lncRNA
CUUUUUGGUGUUUGAACCCUAAAAAUACAGUGCUGAUCAUUAUCUAGUCAUUUUAGUGUGUACUUAAUAUUGUCGAUAUUGUCAAGUGUGUUUAGAGCAUAUGAGAGCAUAUGACUGCUGCCAAAGCAGAGGGGAAAGCCUUAAGGAAAAUGAUAGGGGGUGGUGUUGGGAGGGCAAGCAUGUAUGUGAGUCAGGGGGAUGAAAACAUACUGAGAAGAAAGAAUGUGUUACAGUGUGUGUCUGACUGGAGUGAGGAGUGGCAUAAGAUUUACAGAGGGAGACAAAAGACAUUUUGCACUGGGAGUGAAUAAUCUGAAUGUACUUCAAAUUGUAGUUUUAGGUGUUCAUUUGAAAGUUCAGAAGUCUGAAGUGAUAAAUAAUGAAGAAUUCACUCCAAAGGAAAAGAAGCUCCAGCUCAGCUUUAACUACAGCUAACAUACAUCCACAUGCUGCUCAAAUCAACACCAGGCCAGUGUGUUUGUCUCAGAUGAGCAGUGUUUUCAAUAGUGUGCCACCACUAUUCGGAACAGCACAAGCUUUCCUACUGAGACUAGCACAACUUGAAGCUCAGUUGGUUUUGAACCUGAUUAGUAAUGUUGCAGCUUUAAAUAAUAGCAGUUAUGGGAACCCCCUUGUUCCUUUAAAUCUCUUACAGCCUGUUGGCAUUCAAAGAUCCUCAUUUUUGAGCAUGUACCAGCACCCAGGGGGUUUUAAAAACAUGGAUUCCAUACCUCACAUGGUUAGCCACCCCUCAACAUCUGUCACAGACAUUAAUUCACUCAUUUCUUAUAAGGAGAGUGGUGCCCUUCUAGCAAAAGAGAUCAUUCAGGAGAAAACACUAGGUCCCUUCAUGAAUAACACAACAUUUUCACUGCCAGCAUCUGAGGAAGCUCUUAUUAGAUCCAGUCACAACCAUCUUGGCAAACAUUUCACCUUGAAACCAGACGUGGACUGUCCUCAAUAUCAGUCAGUGAUAGCCAAAGCAAUGAUGCCUCCUGAUAGACCACAAACCAAAGAAGCAGAGCCAAAGAAACAAAAAAUACUGCAUCUUCCAACAGACAACCUGAACAAAGCUUUGAGCAGCCUUGGUCUUUCUCUUGAGGAUCUAGAAUUACUCAGUCAUUGCCCAGACAACCAGUUAACAACAGAGAAUCUCCCUUUCAUUAUACAAAACAUUCAGCAGCGCAAAGGAACAAAGAACGUUAAAUAUGGCCAUGCUACAUGGAACUCAUCUGAUCAAGUGGAAUCAUCCAGAGAGUCACCAUACGCUCACGGGGAACAGAGGAAUCAAAAGGUUAUUAAUGGUGCAUGGCAAGAAUCCCAUUCCCAAAGAUCCCUCAGACCUGAAAGAUCCCGCCCAUCUGAACUCAUUCAUGAGCACUUCUCAACCCAGUCUAAAACACUGAAAAGAAUAAGACAUGCAUCAGGAAGAGGCUCAAAUUCCUUCCUAAAGAGGCUGCAACAUGGGCCUGCUGAGGUCACCAAGUGGAGGCCUGGUUCAGUCUAUGUUCCCCCUCACUCAAAAUGUAGCAUGAGAUCUACCACUUACAAUGGCUUGAAAAAAGGUUAUCAAAAGUCUUCAUUUCCAGUAAAAUCUGCAAAAUCAGAAGUAACCACUGAAUCCAUGAACAUUCAGAUACCAGUAACUAAGACGACUGCAAAAACAUCAGCACAAACUAAGGGUGUGAUUCGUGUGUCUGGAAUCCCUCUUGAUUACUCUGAGAGUGAACUUAUCAAAAUGGCAUCUCCCUUUGGUCACCCUGUUGAGGUUUUAAUGGCAACUGAUGUUGACACGACAACCUGUCUACAGUGGAAGAAGGCUUUACUGAUGUUUCCAACUGAAUUCUCAGCCCAGGAGAUGGUGAAGGUUUACUCUGCUAUCCCAGUUCACAUGAGGCAGCAAAGUUUAGAGUUGGUGUCUCGAACUGUUGAUUUUAAUUCACCUGUGUCAGUGUUUCAUGCCUUUGUGGGACCAUCAUUGUCAAAUGGGCUGCUGACACCUUUGGACCAUUUGCUGGUUGUAUGUAAUGUUCCCAAUCAGCCCUGUGCUGUUACAGGAGUGCUACGGCUACUAAAGCCUUUUGGACAAGUUUUCAGAACUCUGGUACUUCAUGGAAACAAGGUGGAUGUAGAUCAGUGCCUUGGGAACAAUAGCAGCAUCCAGAUGGUUUUAGAGAUGGAAUCCACUUCUGUUGCUUUAUCUGUAUAUGAGUGGUCUCAAAAAAUUCCUUGUCUUUAUCACAACCAUCACCUCUCUUUCCUCAGAGGAUGUAAUAUACAGAAAAAUACAUCUUCGGUCUAAUAUCCUCACAGUUUUGUCCCCUUAAAUGUUGUAUAUUUUAUUAUCUUUGUUAUAAAAUACAAUGAAACAAGGUCAUAAGAAGUAUUAUUGUUUGUCUUUCUCCUUUUAUGAAGUUGUAUAUUUAUCAAGCAGUAGAAGUAGCAUUAAAAAUAGUAAUCCUAACUACAGUCACUACAAUACCCAUAGUCAUGGAAAUCCUGGAAAUAUCAGGGAAUUUUAAAAGUCAUGAAAAAUUUUAAAAUGUCAUGAAAUAUUUAAUCCAGUAAUCACAAUCAGCUGGAAAGGUCAUGGAAUGCAUAAGUCAGAAAUAGUAAGAACCUGUAAAUUAUAUUAAAUGAUUAAUUUACAUAUGGUUGUAUGAUUUUAAUUGUUGGAAAUGUUGGAAGUUCACAUAUAGUGACAAACCCAAUCACAGUUUUAAAGAGUUAAUUCACCCAGAAAAAUAAAUUUCCCCAUACAGUGAAAGCAUUAGUAACCAGGGGCCAUCAAGCUUCAAAAGGGAUAAAAUAGCACUGUAUGUAGGUUUGAUGUCAUUGAUAUCAUGCACCAAGUUUAAAAAUAUCUAUGUACAUAUGCAAGUAAGAUUUGAGAGCUGUGCAAGAGGGGAUAUUUUCACUACUAUAAAACACACCAGUGUACUUCACUAGGCCUUAAAGGGAUAGUUCACCCAAAAAUAUUAUAAUAUUAUAUUGUCAAAUUUCAUCAAUGUUGCUGAUGUAAACAUGCAACCUGUGACGUAGCAUUUUGCUGUUUAUCAUGUAUCAUUUCAUACUUUAUUGUUUCACAUAUUGAAAUUAACAGUCAACAUACCUACAGCCUACUGUGUAGUAGUCAGCAUGGAG